rnacentral:lncRNA from 1 species
GAUUACAGAAUUUUUUAUUCUCCGGCCACCGCAGACGGCGGUGCCGGCGCCAGAGAUCGGGAACCGGCGCGGUGGUCGUUGAUCGUCCGAUGGCCGGCCAAUGGCCGGAGGACAGAGGGGUUGAGAGAGAGUUUUAAAGGUUUUUUUUGUUUUUUUUUGAACUGGUUUUGAAAUGAAUUUUUUUUGAAGGAAAGAGGCUUAUAUACGGCACCUAAACGGUGCAGUUUUGGAAAGCCUCCAGAUGCGUAAAAUGACAUCAUUUUGAGACGUCCGACCCAAAUUCGACCCGACCCAGUUUUAGGGUCCGCGUGUUUUAUAUGGAGGGGCUAAUUGCGCUUUU